CCUCAUUUCUACGCAUUCUGCACAUUAAAAUGCAACUAUACUUGGGUUUGAAUCUGUUUGAAUCUACUUGAUUACAAUAAGGAAAAGUAGUAAAGUAGUAGCUUUCUUGCAUAAAUGAAUGUUAUGGCAAAUAAAAUUGCACUUAAUGCUGACAAACUCAUUACCUUUUGAUAGUCACAUGUUUUACAAUCAUUUUCAACGAAGAAAUAAAUUGUGGUUUAUUUAAAAAAAAAAAAAACAGCAAUUAAUUUUGACUGUGAGCCUGAGAAAAAAUUAACGACUCCCCUGCGCCGAGUUAAUGCCAAGUCUCACAACAAGAAAGCAUUUUCUGCCAAAUUCGGUCAAAAUUCAUUAUUUUCUGUGUAGAAUGCAAACCUCUUGUUCUCUGAUGGAACAGAGUGGGCAGCAAUCACAGGAGUGAGUAUUCUUGUGGUUACUGCCAAAGAGUCUCAAGGAAAAACAGAGACAGUAACUCAUGCUUGAAAUGUUGAGUGCUUUUUACCAUCUUUCACAGGUGCAUGUCUAGAGCAUUUUGGCUAGCAAAAUCUCUGAAAGCUGCUGGGUAAACACUGGAGCCUCAGGUGCUUUAGACAGGCUCUUUUCCAGCAGCUCAAGUUCUUUAAGAGGUACAGUCUGUAUGUAGGUUCAGCUGAUGCAUGUAAGUAUUUCUUAAGCUGAGGAAGAACAAGAAAAAUGUAUUUACAGCAUAUAAAACAGUUACACAAAGCAUUCUUACAGAGUAGGACUAGCAGUGUCUUUUCAAACAUAGUUUCCAAGUGGCAAAAAGCAGUCAGCAGUAUCACAUGCUUCCAAAAGUACGGAAGGGAUAUAAUGCAAGCACAGAAUUUCUUCCACUUCAAGAGAUUAACAGAUUUUGUGCAGAACUUGUAAUAUGAAAAUCUUCUGUGAUCAGAUUGCAUCUGUAGAUAUUAACCACUUUGUCACUGAGUGAAGCCACUUGGUUACAGAAUCUUGUGAAUGAGACAAAGACUCCAGACUAGGAGAACAGCUUUACCAAUUUUCCCUGUAUGAACCAAUUCCUCCUCUUUUGCCUUAACAGCUAAUACAGUUAUUUUUUUCCUGAAAAUUGCUCUCGAAUGGGACCAACAAAGAGAUAAAGCAUGGACCUCUCCUGCCAGCUCAUGGCACAGUGAUGGAAAGCAGCAGAAGUUACCAUGACUGCUUGUGAAUGUGUUGAAGCCAACUGGGAGCAACAUUCUUGGACACAAUUUUUCAGUGCCAUGCAUCAUCAGCUCACAUUUCUUGAAGCUGGUGCAAGCAAUACCGGUAAUUCAUCAGGAACUCUGAGAAGAUCUUAUGUUCUUCUGUGACCAGACUCUCCAAACAGAAGCACAGUACACAGAUUCCCUUCUGAGAGUGAAAGUUGUGAGCACCAGCAGAUCCCUCUGGAGCACAUCUCAGACUGUGCAUUUCUCCUGCAUCUGCACAUGUGGGAUUGCAGUGACUGGCUACAUGUUCCCAGAACCAACUGACCAAGUUUUCACUUAGCAGGCCCCCAUGUGAACAGUGUCUGCUGGCAGAAGCUUUUGUAAUACAGAAUCCAACACAGACCUCUGCGUAAGCAACGAGAUUUGGAAAAGCUGAAUUGUUUUUGGUAUCAGUGUCAACUGCUCUUUUCUAGCCUUACUGUCAAGCAACACACACACUGGUUUCUUGUGUGUGGAAAGAUGACAGAGACCGUUUCUAAGAAAUCAUAAAUAUGUAGCUGUGCAAAUGAGAACUGUUAAAUAGUUGACAGUGAAGUAUCAAGAAGAAAAGAAGCAACAUUUUUCUGUCCCAUUCACAAAAGAGUUCAUGCCUAUGGCUGAAAUACUCAAGAUCUUUCUGAAAAAAAUGAAUCAGUAGCUUAAGUCCACGAGCUUACCUUCACACUGAUCUCCAGUAGCAGACAGAACGUAACCUUGGCUACAAACACAUCUGAAAGACCCUUCUGUGUUCCUGCAGCGUCCAUUGACACACAGGGAUCUGUCUUGGCAUUCAUCUAUAUCUGUGGCAGAAGAGACAGAGAUGGCAUGACACAUCAAAAAUACAGAUUACUGAGCAAAUAGUGCAAAAAGCAUCCCUGAACAAAACAGCAAAGCACAGUGUCAUUAGCAAGUACUGCUUCUCUUGAUUUUAUUUACAAAUGCAGACAGACAAUACAGUGCAUAAAAAUAUAUGAAACAGCAGAUAGAAUGUUUCCCUCAUGGUGACUGCAUUCACAGUUCUCUCCCAUAGUGUCAAUAUAUCCCACAGUGGACAUGCAAAUACACGCAGACUCAUAAGUACACACACAGACACACUGCUUGAGAGCUGCUUUUGUUUCUCUUCUCUCUGGCAAAGGUAAGAAGCCAACUGCUCCAGUGAGUCAGCAAAACCCACAAAAUACUUUCCAGCCGACUCACCACCUUUUAACAGGGUGUGGUUUUCAGAUGCACACUGACAGGCCAUCCCCCUGUUAACUUGUACAUUGAGGCUCCUUUAGAUACUUGCCUUGUAACAGUAUUAAUCCUCUAAGUAUGGGGAAACACUUCCACAACCACUGCUAAUCCCUCAGCACUUCAAGUUCUCAUCAUGUGGGGUCAGCCUGGGCUACCAAAUGGACUUGAACACUAAGUUUAAAUUUUCCUAUGGAAAAGUCAAAAUAGUGGAGGGGAGCAGCACUCUGAAUUCGGAACAUACCACGUGUUACGUAUAAGCUAGGAACCGCUCUUCCCUCUCUUAUUUAUAAUUACAAGUCCUUAGCAAGUGUUAUAAAUUUAUAUGACAGGUUGUUAGUCAUUCCUAGGAUUUAGGCACAGGUGCCCGUUGCUCUGAAAAUAUAAUUCAAACAGGAGAAAGUUACUCAGAGGUUUUUCUGGUCUGUGUUAUGGCUACACAGCCUGAUCUCUUUCUUGAAUUGUGGUCCCCUGCAACCAGAGAAGUUUUGAAUGUAAGGAUCACCAAAUUCUGUGGGGCUGCAUGAAGUAUCUGGGUGCGCGUACAGGCCCUGACUUGAGAAGGGUGCACUUUAAGAAGAGCUGUCUGCACAUGCCAGCGUAGCUUGGCAAGGGCUCUUUUCCAUGAAAGGCUCAGAGGAAGCAGUCAAACUUUGUCUACAUACUUUCCCCAAGACCGGUCUGCUCUGUGUCCUGGACAGCACAUUUAACUCACUCACACCAUUUAACGUACAGUGUUGUUUUGUUUCAAGUUUCCUGACAAAGUUAAAUGAAUGAUUAUUCGGUUUUAUUGUAUUACUUUAGCACUCAGAAGUCUGAAUGUGUUUGGUGCUAUACACAGACACUCGCAUAAAGAGAAAAAGAAAAAAAAAAGGAAAAGAAAAAAACAACUGACAAGAAACUCUGAUUUCUGUGUGCUUCCGUGGCUUCUCUGAGACAUUCUCUCAGAUUUUCACUUUUAGGGUAGAGGUUGCAAGAGUACUAAUGUCUGCUCAAGGAGGAAAGGGAUAUUCGUGGUUAAUAUAUGUACUCUAUGUUCCCUCUCAGACUGCUCAGCUCUGACAUCAGACCUAAUUUUGAUCCACGGGAUGUCAUAUGUGGAAGAAACGCGGGACCCAACGCUCUGAGG